AGAAAACAUUGAGGCCCCUCAUGGGGGGUCCUAGUAAUCACAUAAUCACCAUUUUUUUGCCAAUAUAAUCACAUAAUCAUUAAAUAUUUGCUUAUCUUUAGUAAUCAAAUAAUCAUAAACUAAAAAUACAGUCCUAGGUAAUCAAAUAAUCAUGAAAUAUUUGGCUUAAUAAUCAAAUAAUCAUUAAAAAAACGGCCAAGUAAUCACAUAAUCAAAAACCCCAUGAGGGCCCUCACUAUUCAA
rnacentral:lncRNA from 1 species